UACGUAGGGGGCUAGCGUUGUCCGGAUUUAUUGGGCGUAAAGAGCGUGUAGGCGGUCAGGUAGGUCCGUUGUGAAAACUCGAGGCUCAACCUCGAGACGCCGAUGGAAACCAUCUGACUAGAGUCCGGAAGAGGAGAGUGGAAUUCCUGGUGUAGCGGUGAAAUGCGCAGAUAUCAGGAAGAACACCCGUGGCUAAGGCGGCUCUCUAGUACGGUACUGACGCUGAGACGCGAAAGCGUGGGGAGCGAACCGG
rnacentral:rRNA from 1 species